UCCUACGGGAGGCAGCAGUGGGGAAUAUUGGACAAUGGGGGCAACCCUGAUCCAGCCAUGCCGCGUGUGUGAAGAAGGCCCUCGGGUUGUAAAGCACUUUCAGCGAGGAAGAACGCCUAGCGGUUAAUACCCGCUAGGAAAGACAUCACUCGCAGAAGAAGCACCGGCUAACUCCGUGCCAGCAGCCGCGGUAAUACGGAGGGUGCAAGCGUUAAUCGGAAUUACUGGGCGUAAAGCGCGCGUAGGUGGCUUGAUAAGCCGGUUGUGAAAGCCCCGGGCUCAACCUGGGAACGGCAUCCGGAACUGUCAAGCUAGAGUGCAGGAGAGGAAGGUAGAAUUCCCGGUGUAGUGGUGAAAUGCGUAGAGAUCGGGAGGAAUACCAGUGGCGAAGGCGGCCUUCUGGACUGACACUGACACUGAGGUGCGAAAGCGUGGGUAGCAAACAGGAUUAGAUACCCUGGUAGUCCACGCCGUAAACGAUGUCGACCAGCCGUUGGGUGCCUAGCGCACUUUGUGGCGAAGUUAACGCGAUAAGUCGACCGCCUGGGGAGUACGGCCGCAAGGUUAAAACUCAAAUGAAUUGACGG
rnacentral:rRNA from 1 species